CACAGGGUAUCCCAAACGAUCUGUUCCUGCAAUCCCCUGGGCUGGCCUACUGUCCAAGUCUCAUUCAGUCUCAAGUCCAGCCCUCUGAAGUCUCAGGUUCCCGGUUCAACAGGGCACCCGGACAAGCGUGCCCUGUGGGGAUUGCUGGGUAGGGCCGGCCGCCGCCGCCCUGGCUGCUAGCUUCGCCAGGCAGACCUACUGCCUGGCGUCCCAUGUCUUUUUUAUACUUGGGAGUUUCCCCGUCCUGUGGGCAACAAAGAUCAGUCUGGAAAUGCAGCUCUGACUCACCGUUUGCGGAUUCAACGCGAGAUCCAAUCCUGGGUUGUUCUCACAGCGCCAUCUUGAGUCUUCCCCGGACUUCUAAUUUUCUAGUUUUUCUCCACCUGCCCUUACUCAUACAAAGAUAUGCAGCAGAACAACUCCUGGAGUAAUCACUUGCUGGGAUUAGAUGGUGGUUUCAAGUGCAGAAGUGUCAGUGUUGAAGAGUUAUGCACCGAUCUGGUGAUCAUUCCUGGAGGACCGGACUAAAGCCUGUUUCUUCAGCCUCAUGGGUGGCAGGCCCUAAGAUGGCCUGAAUGACCCUGAAUCCUGGUACUCAAGUCUUUGUGUAUCAUUCUCCUCUUGUGUAUGAACAGGACCUACUAAUUGGCUUGCAAUGGACAGAAAAGUGUAGGUAUCACUUCUGAGAUUAAGUUACAAAAAAGGGUGACAUUUAUCUUACUUGUGCCUUUCUUAGUUUUUUUUUUUUUUUCUUUUUCUUGUGGUCCUGGCUCUGGAGGUAAACAAACUACUAUGUUGUGAGUAACCCUAUGCAGAGGUCUAUGUGGCAAGGAACUGACAACUCAGUUUGCAGACAGUGAGAAGUGAGGCUGCCACUGUCAUGUUGUGUGAUCUUGGAAGUGGGUCUUCUGAUAGCUAACAGUCACUGUGUGUUAGGAAGCCAAUCCUCCGCUUCACCUUUGAGAUGAUCACAGUGCAGACUGACAUCUGAAUUGUGACUUUGUGGAAGACCCUGAGCCAGAGGACUCAGGUAAGUUGCACUGGAUUCCUGACCCACAAAAACUAUGAGAUAAUAAAUUCUGGUUUUGUUAAGCCUCUGACUUUUGGGCUAAUCGGUUAUGCAGUUAUGUAACUAGUAUUUUCAAAAAAAUUUUGUGAGAAGCUAAUUUUCCGAUUUAAAUUUAUUCAGCUUAAAAUGCCUAGGGUACUGUCUGUUUCAUCAACAAAGUGUAACUUAUAAACUCCCUGCUUCACCCUUUAUAUAUUAUCUUGCUCUCUGAAAUUUCCUUUCCCCUAUUCUCCUUUGUCAGAUCACCUAUUAUUUGUAACUCAAGUUCAAUCUACAAUGUCAGUCCCUAAUAGGAUGCUCUCCAGUUUGAUUUAUUGCUCUGAAUAUACCUAUCAGAUAUUUACGUAUCUCAAUUAAAAGGCAGUAUCUGUUAAUGGCGUAUGUCUGCUGUAUACUAAAAUAAGUAUUUCUAGAGGACCACAAGAGAAAACAUUUCCUAGUCAUUUUUGCAUGCCAGUACCUAGCCAAAACCUAGAGAGCAGAAUGUAUUUCUAAAGCAUGAUGAGUGAAGGUAAAUAAACAGUAAAAGAGGGAAGAAGCAAAGAAAGGAAAAAGAAAAGAACAAAUAACUCUAAAACCAGUAAUUUUUCAAAUACAGUGUGGUAACUACAACAUGAUGCUCUAAAAUCUGAAUGAAUUCUUCAGUGUCUCAUCAUGCAGCAGAGAAUAUAUUGCAGGCUAAAUGUUGCAGAAUGGGAUAAAAUGAAAGAGGUCAGGGCUGGAAUAUGAUGAAUCUAGGUUUUCUAAGGGAAAUUAUUGUAUCUGUAGGUGUUAGAAGUAGCCAAGAAAGGCAGGCUGUGUAUUGUCCAAUAAAUAUUUUGAAAGGAAGACUGGUGCUACCUGCAGAUGGUUGACAUCAGACAGAUUCAAAAAAACAUAGUAGUAGUUGUCUAAAAGGUGGCAGGCAGAGUCAGGCAUUGAUGAGCAGUUCACAUCCAGGCAUAUGUCAGUUGUCCACAUCAAGAUGAUGUACCAGUAAGUAACAAGGCCUAAGGCAUAAGGCCAGGUUCUGGACAAGGAUCCCAUUAGUGGGAUGUGCAGUGAAAAGUUUACCUGUGGAACACACACUGUGGUUCUUAAGAGAUUUGAAUACCAAAUUUAGAAAACCAGACAUACACUUUAAUUCAAAAAUUAAACAGUGGUCCUCUGAGUAUUUAAUUCAUGAUCUUUGAAUGUUGCCUUCCUAAGGGUAGGCUUAGUUUAGACAGAGAUUAAGAUGGCUUCUACUGGCUGGAGAGAAAUAUACAAAAUCUAUGAGUCACAUAGAACUUGGAAGUAAUAGAUAUGUGUAUUUGAAUAGGUAAAUAUUUCUGGAUCUGUGUUGAUGAUGAAUCAGACACCAUUAAAGAAAUACCUUUUAAGUAUUUACUUUAAGCAUUGCACUAAAUGCCUUAUAAUGGUAAGCCUUGAAAAUUUUACAUUUUGAAUUACAAGUAUUACUCAAGAAUACAUUUCAGACCAAUUUAUAAAACAUAAAAAAAUGCAAAAUUAUACAUUUUGGACAAUGAUAU
ensembl:lncRNA